rnacentral:rRNA from 1 species
UACGUAGGGGGCUAGCGUUGUCCGGAAUCAUUGGGCGUAAAGCGCGUGUAGGCGGUCCGGUAAGUCCGCUGUGAAAGUCGAGGGCUCAACCCUCGAAUGCCGGUGGAUACUGUCGGGCUUGAGUACGGGAGAGGCGAGUGGAAUUCCUGGUGUAGCGGUGAAAUGCGCAGAUAUCAGGAGGAACACCGAUUGCGAAGGCAGCUCGCUGGAACGUUACUGACGCUGAGGAGCGAAAGUGUGGGGAGCGAACAGG